AUCCAGCUGAUGAGUCCCAAGUAGGACGAAACGCACGUCCUGAAU
rnacentral:hammerhead_ribozyme from 1 species